GUAGGUGAACCUGCGGAAGGAUCAUUACAGUGUCCAUCCGGGGUCGUUCACGCUCCUCCGGGGGCGUGUCGGCGCCGGAGAUGACCUCCACCCGUGCUUACUUGACCAUGUUGCCUUGGCGGGUCGUUGGGUCCGUCUUCGCGAUGCCGACCUCGCGCCCGCCAGUGGGCUUUUUGAACUCGAAUAUUUUCUUGAUUGUCUGAGUUGGUUUAACCAAAUUAAAAAUUAAAACUUUCAACAACGGAUCUCUUGGUUCCG
rnacentral:misc_RNA from 1 species